GUGACAUUGGUUAAAACCACGCGUUUCAAUCACGAAAACGAGGCUCUAUAGCCAAAGUAACAUUCUUUCCAGAAGAGUCUGUUCCAUUAGUCACAUAAUCCCGUAAGUCAAGUACCCAUGGCAUCCUGAAUAUAGAACUAUCAACAUUAAUAACAUGGCCUUCACGCAUGUUGUCAUGCUCCAAAGGAUGAACAUUACAAGGACUGGAUACCCAGUAAAAACCGAAUUGUCAGAUUCGAUAGAACACCUCCGACAUACGAAUAAAUCACUAUACUUAAAGGCUAAAGCGAGGUGAUCAAUCAAUUCUGAUCCAGUACGUUAUUUAAAAAAAGCUCAUCAAGUAUAUAUUAGUGUCAGAUUAAUUAAGAGUAGAUUAGGUUUAGAUUAAGAUGAUGUGAG